ACUCAAAGGAAUUGACGGGGACCCGCACAAGCGGUGGAUGAUGUGGUUUAAUUCGAUGCAACGCGAAAAACCUUACCCACCUUUGACAUGUACGGAAUUCGCCAGAGAUGGCUUAGUGCUCGAAAGAGAACCGUAACACAGGUGCUGCAUGGCUGUCGUCAGCUCGUGUCGUGAGAUGUUGGGUUAAGUCCCGCAACGAGCGCAACCCUUGUCAUUAGUUGCUACAUUCAGUUGGGCACUCUAAUGAGACUGCCGGUGACAAACCGGAGGAAGGUGGGGAUGACGUCAAGUCCUCAUGGCCCUUAUAGGUGGGGCUACACACGUCAUACAAUGGCUGGUACAAAGGGUUGCCAACCCGCGAGGGGGAGCUAAUCCCAUAAAACCAGUCGUAGUCCGGAUCGCAGUCUGCAACUCGACUGCGUGAAGUCGGAAUCGCUAGUAAUCGUGGAUCAGAAUGUCACGGUGAAUACGUUCCCGGGUCUUGUACACACCGCCCGUCACACCAUGGGAGCGGGUUCUGCCAGAAGUAGUUAGCCUAACCGCAAGGAGGGCGAUUACCACGGCAGGGUUCGUGACUGGGGUGAAGUCGUAACAAGGUAGCCGUAUCGGAAGGUGCGGCUGGAUCACCU
rnacentral:rRNA from 1 species